AUUAUUAUUAUUAUUAUUAUUAUUAUUAUUAUUAUUAUUAUUAUUAUUACUGAAAAGAAGGAGGCGAGAUGGCAGAAUCUUUACCACGCUUAACGCUAUUUCGUCCGUCUAUGCGUGCUGAGUUCAAAUUCCGCCGUAGUCGACUUUGCAUUUCAUCCUUCGGAGGUCGAUAAAAUAAGUACCAUUUGACCAGUGGGGUCGAUGUAAUACACUAUCCCUCUCCUCCAAGUUUCAGACCUUGUGCUUAUAAUAGAGAGGAUUAUUAUUAUUAUUAUUAUUAUUAUUAUUAUUAUUAUUAUUAUUAUUAU